ACGCGAGCUGGGUUCAGAACGUCGUGAGACAGUUCGGUCCCUAUCCGUCGCAGGCGUAGGAAAUUUGAGAAGACCUGUCCUUAGUACGAGAGGACCGGGAUGGACGUACCUCUGGUGUACCAGUUGUUCUGCCAAGGGCAUGGCUGGGUAGCUAUGUACGGAAUGGAUAAGCGCUGAAAGCAUCUAAGCGCGAAGCCAACUUCAAGAUAAGAUUUCCCACCGCAAGGGUAAGAC
rnacentral:rRNA from 1 species